NNNNNNNUGAAUCAUCGAGUCUUUGAACGCAAGUUGCGCCCGAAGCCAUCGGGCCGAGGGCACCCGUGCCUGGGUGUCUUGCAUCGCGUCGCCCCCGGGGGGCGGAGAUUGGCCUCCCGUGUGCUCCCGUCGCGCGGUCGGCCC
rnacentral:rRNA from 1 species